GACAGAGGCCUCAAGCGUUAGGCGGAAUCACUGGGCUUAAAGCGUGUGUAGGCGGAUCGUUAAGUACCUUGUGAAAUCCCACGGCUCACCCGUGGAACUGCUGGGUAUACUGGCGAUCUUGGGCCAACUAGGGGCAGCUGGAACAAGCGGUGGAGCGGUGAAAUGCGUAGAUAUCGCUUGGAACGCCGAAGGUGAAAACAGGCUGCUGGGGGUUGUGCCGACGCUGAGACACGAAAGCCAGGGGGAGCAAAACGGGG
rnacentral:rRNA from 1 species